rnacentral:rRNA from 1 species
GUGGGGAAUAUUGGACAAUGGGGGGAACCCUGAUCCAGCCAUGCCGCGUGUGUGAAGAAGGCCUUUUGGUUGUAAAGCACUUUAAGCGAGGAGGAGGCUACCGAGAUUAAUACUCUUGGAUAGUGGACGUUACUCGCAGAAUAAGCACCGGCUAACUUUGUGCCAGCAGCCGCGGUAAUACAGAGGGUGCAAGCGUUAAUCGGAUUUACUGGGCGUAAAGCGCGCGUAGGUGGCCAAUUAAGUCAAAUGUGAAAUCCCCGAGCUUAACUUGGGAAUUGCAUUCGAUACUGGUUGGCUAGAGUAUGGGAGAGGAUGGUAGAAUUCCAGGUGUAGCGGUGAAAUGCGUAGAGAUCUGGAGGAAUACCGAUGGCGAAGGCAGCCAUCUGGCCUAAUACUGACACUGAGGUGCGAAAGCAUGGGGAGCAAACAGGAUUAGAAACCCGGGUAGUCC